rnacentral:rRNA from 1 species
AGUGAACGCUGGCGGUAGGCCUAACACAUGCCAGUCGAACGGCAGCACAGUAAGAGCUUGCUCUUACGGGUGGCGAGUGGCGGACGGGUGAGGAAUACAUCGGAAUCUACCUUUUCGUGGGGGAUAACGUAGGGAAACUUACGCUAAUACCGCAUACGACCUACGGGUGAAAGCAGGGGAUCUUCGGACCUUGCGCGAUUGAAUGAGCCGAUGUCGGAUAGCUAGUUGGCGGGGUAAAGGCCCACCAAGGCGACGAUCCGUAGCUGGUCUGAGAGGAUGAUCAGCCACACUGGAACUGAGACACGGUCCAGACUCCUACGGGAGGCAGCAGUGGGGAAUAUUGGACAAUGGGCGCAAGCCUGAUCCAGCCAUACCGCGUGGGUGAAGAAGGCCUUCGGGUUGUAAAGCCCUUUUGUUGGGAAAGAAAAGCAGCAGGUUAAUACCCCGCUGUUCUGACGGUACCCAAAGAAUAAGCACCGGCUAACUUCGUG